CCCUUCGGGGUGAGUAAAGUGGCGAACGGGUGAGUAACACGUGGGCAAUCUGCCCCUCGCAGGAGGACAACCGGGGGAAACCCCGGCUAAUACUCCGUACGCUCCGAGGCCCGCAUGGGUCACGGAGGAAAGGUAGCUUCGGCCAUCCGGCGAGGGAUGAGCCCGCGGUACAUUAGCUAGUUGGUAGGGUAACGGCCUACCAAGGCGGCGAUGUAUAGCUGGUCUGAGAGGAUGAUCAGCCACACUGGGACUGAGACACGGCCCAGACUCCUACGGGAGGCAGCAGUCGGGAAUCUUGCGCAAUGGGCGAAAGCCUGACGCAGCAACACCGUGUGGGUGACGAAGGCCUUCGGGUCGUAAAGCCCUGUUGUUAGGGACGAAGGGCGAAGGGUUAAUAGCCCCUAGCCUGACGGUACCUUUCGAGGAAGCCCCGGCUAACUACGUGCCAGCAGCCGCGGUAAUACGUAGGGGGCGAGCGUUGUCCGGAAUUAUUGGGCGUAAAGAGCGUGUAGGCGGUCUGGUAAGUCUGCUGUGAAACCUUGGGGCUCAACCCCAAGCGUGCAGUGGAUACUGCCAGGCUAGAGGAUGGUAGAGGCGAGUGGAAUUCCCAGUGUAGCGGUGAAAUGCGCAGAUAUUGGGAGGAACACCAGUAGCGAAGGCGGCUUGCUGGGCCAUUCCUGACGCUGAGACGCGAAAGCUAGGGGAGCGAACAGGAUUAGAUACCCUGGUAGUCCUAGCCGUAAACGAUGAACACUAGUGUGGGGGGGGAGUCGAAUCUCUCCGUGCCGAAGCCAACGCGUUAAGUGUUCCGCCUGGGGAGUACGGCCGCAA
rnacentral:rRNA from 1 species